rnacentral:rRNA from 1 species
GUCAAGUCAUCACGGCCUUUAUGCCUAGGGCUGCACACGUGCUACAAUGGGUCGGACAAAGGGACGCCAACGCGCAAGCGGGAGCAAAUCUCAAAAACCGCCCCCCAGUUCAGAUUGCAGGCUGCAAUUCGCCUGCAUGAAGCCGGAAUCGCUAGUAAUCGCAGAUCAGCUAUGCUGCGGUGAAUGUGUUCCUGAGCCUU